rnacentral:rRNA from 1 species
GGACCCGCACAAGCGGUGGAGCAUGUGGUUUAAUUCGAUGCAACGCGAAAAAACCUUACCAGGGUUUGACAUCCUGCGAAUCUCUUGGAAACAGGAGAGUGCCUUCGGGAACGCAGUGACAGGUGGUGCAUGGCUGUCGUCAGCUCGUGUCGUGAGAUGUUGGUUAAGUCCCGCAACGAGCGCAACCCACGUCUUUAGUUGCCAGCAUUUAGUUGGGCACUCUAGAGAGACUGCCGGUGAUAAACCGGAGGAAGGUGUGGAUGACGUCAAGUCAUCAUGCCCCUUACAUCCUGGGCUACACACGGUACUACAAUGCUACGGACAAAGGGCAGCAAGUUCGCGAGGAC